AGUCAAUAGAUACCCUGGUAGUCCACGCCCUAAACGAUGCAUAUUUGGUGUAGGUCAUUCAGUUGAUCUGUGCCGGAGCUAACGCGUUAAAUAUGCCGCCUGGGGAGUACAGUCGCAAGGCUGAAACUCAAAGGAAUUGACGGGGGCCCGGCACAAGCGGUGGAGCAUGUGGUUCAAUUCGACGCAACGCGAAGAACCUUACCUGGGCUCGAACGGCUGGUCAACGAUCGUGGAAACACGGUUACUCCGCAAGGAGGUCCAGUCGAGGUGCUGCAUGGCUGUCGUCAGCUCGUGUCGUGAGAUGUUGGGUUUAAGUCCCGCAACGAGCGCAACCCUUGUCCUGUGUUGCCAUCCCGCAAGGGGGGUACUCGCAGGAGACCGCCAGCGAUAAGCUGGAGGAAGGUGGGGAUGACGUCAAGUCCUCAUGGCCUUUAUGUCCAGGGCUACACACGUGCUACAAUGGCCGGUUACAAAGCGCAGCUAAGUCGCGAGAC
rnacentral:rRNA from 1 species